rnacentral:rRNA from 1 species
AUUAUUUCACAAAUAGCAAUUGUUACCAGAGUAAUAAUAGUUACAUCCUUUAAACUCAAAGAAUUUGGCGGUGUUUUAGUCCACUCAGAGGAACUUGUCCCGUAAUCGAUAACCCACGCUAUAAUUUGUUUAACUUAGUUCGAGCUUGUAUACCGCUGUCAUAAGAGUAUUUUAAUAGAGAGUGCUCAGGAAUUUUUAAUAAAAAGUAUGUCAAGUCAAGGUGCAGCCAAUGGUUAAAGGGAGAUGAGUUACAAUAAUUAAAGUUAAAUGGAUUUACUUUUNAANAAGUGAGGAAAGUGGAUUUGAAUGUAAUAAAUUUAAGAGAGUAUUUAUGAAAUGGCUCUAAAACAUGCACAC